AUUGAACGCUGGCGGCAGGCUUAACACAUGCAAGUCGAACGGUAACAUAAAGAAGCUUGCUUCUUUGAUGACGAGUGGCGGACGGGUGAGUAAUGCUUGGGAAUCUAGCUUAUGGAGGGGGAUAACUACGGGAAACUGUAGCUAAUACCGCGUAAUAUCGAAAGAUGAAAGUGUGGGACCUUCGGGCCACAUGCCAUAGGAUGAGCCCAAGUGGGAUUAGGUAGUUGGUGAGGUAAAGGCUCACCAAGCCGACGAUCUCUAGCUGGUCUGAGAGGAUGACCAGCCACACUGGGACUGAGACACGGCCCAGACUCCUACGGGAGGCAGCAGUGGGGAAUAUUGCGCAAUGGGGGCAACCCUGACGCAGUCAUGCCGCGUGAAUGAAGAAGGCCUUCGGGUUGUAAAGUUCUUUCGGUAGCGAGGAAGGCAUUUAGUUUAAUAGACUAGGUGAUUGACGUUAACUACAGAAGAAGCACCGGCUAACUCCGUGCCAGCAGCCGCGGUAAUACGGAGGGUGCGAGCGUUAAUCGGAAUAACUGGGCGUAAAGGGCACGCAGGCGGUGACUUAAGUGAGGUGUGAAAGCCCCGGGCUUAACCUGGGAAUUGCAUUUCAUACUGGGUCGCUAGAGUACUUUAGGGAGGGGUAGAAUUCCACGUGUAGCGGUGAAAUGCGUAGAGAUGUGGAGGAAUACCGAAGGCGAAGGCAGCCCCUUGGGAAUGUACUGACGCUCAUGUGCGAAAGCGUGGGGAGCAAACAGG
rnacentral:rRNA from 1 species